GACAGCGGAGCCAAGAUGGCGGCCGAGUUGGAGUACGAGUCUGUGCUGUGUGUGAAGCCGGACGUCAGCGUCUACCGGAUUCCGCCCCGGGCCUCCAACCGCGGUUACAGGGCAUCUGACUGGAAAUUAGACCAGCCUGAUUGGACUGGUCGCCUCCGAAUCACUUCAAAAGGGAAGACUGCCUAUAUCAAACUCGAGGAUAAAGUUUCAGGGGAGCUCUUUGCUCAGGCACCAGUAGAACAAUAUCCUGGUAUUGCUGUGGAGACAGUGACAGAUUCCAGCCGCUACUUUGUAAUCCGGAUCCAGGAUGGUACUGGGCGCAGUGCUUUCAUUGGCAUUGGCUUCACAGAUCGGGGAGAUGCCUUCGACUUUAAUGUCUCCUUGCAGGAUCACUUCAAGUGGGUAAAGCAGGAAUCUGAGAUUUCCAAGGAAUCUCAAGAAAUGGAUGCUCGUCCUAAGUUGGAUCUGGGCUUCAAGGAAGGACAAACCAUCAAGUUGAGUAUCGGGGUGAGUAUGGUUUUUAAAAAUUUUGUUUUCCUGUGCUUCCAUAAGCCUAUGACAUCUUUCUCUUGCUCUUCUUUUUUUCUUUUGUAGAACAUUACAAACAAGAAAGGAGGUGCUUCCAAGCCCAGGACUGCAAGGGGUGGGGGCCUGAGCUUACUCCCACCCCCGCCAGGAGGCAAAGUCACUAUUCCCCCACCAUCCUCCUCAGUUGCCAUCAGCAAUCAUGUCACCCCACCACCCAUUCCGAAAUCUAACCAUGGAGGCAGUGAUGCAGAUAUCCUUUUAGAUUUGGAUUCUCCUGCUCCUGUCACGACACCAGCACCAACUCCAGUUUCUGCAAGCAAUGACUUGUGGGGAGACUUCAGCACUGCAUCCAGCUCUGUUCCAAACCAGGCACCACAGCCAUCCAACUGGGUCCAGUUCUGAAUGGCAUUGGCAGGACAUUAAGGACAGACUUGAGGAAUAAAAAUGACCUUGAGGGCACCAAUCUGUGAGGGAAGUUAGGAACCCAUUUCCUCCCCAGAAUCAAAAUGACUGGACAAUCUUUUUCGUAGCUUCUCCAUCACAUUCAAGCUGGUUUAUGUCACUCCCCUGUGUUGUUACUUGUACAGCCAAGAAAGUAUCUGUUAAUCUCCUGCUUAGUACCAAGGUAGGGGACUAGUGAAUCUUAUCAUAGUUUUGGCUGACUAUGCAGGGCUCAAAAGGCCAGCGUCUGUUUGAGGGGGAAUGACCUCUGACAUCUGUAAAAUUUGUCUCAUCUUUUAAAUUCUUUAACUUAUUUCAAAAUCAUCUCAUGACCCUCGUGUGCCUCUUUGUGAAGCCCUAUUUAGCAAUUUCAGGGGAGUCAAAAACCUUGCAACUUCCUUCUCCACUAACCCAGGACUAAAAAUGGACAGGCUGACCUUAGUGUUUACAAAUUCAGAAUUUUGAUAGGGGUAGAUAUGGAGAAAGACCUAUUUCCUGGGUCUCUGCUGUGUAGUCUCCUUCAGGCUUAUUGUACACAGUGAACAUCCAGUGCUGGGUGCAGCUCCAUCACCCUCUUGUGUGUUUACAUGUCUCUUUCUAUGAUAAGAGGGUUGUGUUGGUGGCACCUCCACUACUCUUUUCUGUUUGUUGAAUUUGAAUUGUGUAACAUCUUUGACCAGUGGGUGUUUCUGUAAUGAAGGAGGUUCAAGAGGCUGUGCUUUCCAAGUGAUAGUCUAUAGGAAUGUUUGAUUUCUUGCAGCUCCAUCUGGUUGCUGCAUUUGAAGCAUGGCAUUAAUUUGUAUUUGCCCUGUUGUUUGACCUUAAGUUGAAGGGUUUAGAGUUUUUAACCUGAUCUGUAGAGCAGAGAGGUUGAAAGCACUUAACUCUUGUUUAGUAUCCUCAUUGCCUUGCUGCCUGGGUAUCUGGCCCCUUUUCAUAAACAUUUCUUUUCAGUUCAUGUAGUUCUUUAAUAGAAAGCUGCUAUUAUGUAUAUUGUCAUUUGUGAAGGAAGUUGGAGAGUCACAGAUUUACUGUGACAGGUUUUGCCCAAGUCUGUGAUACCUGUCACCCAGGGUAUCUUAAAAGCAAGUUGUUCUCCCACUACUUUCCUUUCCCUCUGCCCUGCCAUUCCUUUUACAAUGCUGUGAAAAAAGUUCUGCUUCUUAGGUGAAUGGGUACUUUCUAUUUUGUUUCUAAAUGAGCAAUUUUGAGGAUGAAAUGGGAAGAUAUCAUUUCUUCCUUUUUGCACCUAUUAGGUAUGUACACUCUCUGGCUGAAGGGAGUCCUUAUGUUUAGUUUCAAAAUAUAUUACUUUCCUGGAUUCCCUUCUUAACGUUUUCUGACUUUGGGUCCAUUUUCUUUUCAUUGCCUCCUUUUCCAGGCAGCUCUAUUCUUGCAGAGCCAUGGCAGGACAUAUUAAAAUUCCAGUAGAAAACACUAAAAGGAAAGUCUGUAGAAUCACUAGUGACUAAAUACUGGGAACCUAUUUUCUCAAUCUUCCUCCAUGUUGUGUUCUUUGUAUUCUCAAGAUGAUAAUAUAUUAUGUAUUUGAAUUCCUGAAAAAUGGAAAAUGUUUAAGAUAUAUGUAUAUAAAGCAUAUGCUGUAUUGGU
rnacentral:sRNA from 1 species